rfam:Gymnopus luxurians FD-317 M1 unplaced genomic scaffold GYMLTscaffold_5, whole genome shotgun sequence.
GCCUUCUUAGCUCAGGGGUAGAGCGUUCCACUCGUACGCCAUAGAGAUCGUGCGCAUGGAAAGGUCGCUAGUUCGAAUCUGGUAGGAGGCA